AGAGUUUGAUCCUGGCUCAGAUUGAACGCUGGCGGCAUGCUUUACACAUGCAAGUCGAACGGCAGCACGGGUGCUUGCACCUGGUGGCGAGUGGCGAACGGGUGAGUAAUGCACCGGAACGUACCCAGUAAUGGGGGAUAACACAUCGAAAGAUGUGCUAAUACCGCAUACGCCCUGAGGGGGAAAGCGGGGGAUCGUAAGACCUCGCGUUAUUGGAGCGGCCGAUGCCGGAUUAGCUAGUUGAUGAGGUAAGAGCUCACCAAGGCGACGAUCCGUAGCUGGUCUGAGAGGACGACCAGCCACACUGGGACUGAGACACGGCCCAGACUCCUACGGGAGGCA
rnacentral:rRNA from 1 species